rnacentral:rRNA from 1 species
UACGAAGGGGGCUAGCGUUGCUCGGAAUUACUGGGCAUAAAGAGCUCGUAGGUGGUUUGUCGCGUUGUCCGUGAAAACUCACAGCUUAACUGUGGGCGUGCGGGCGAUACGGGCAGACUGGAGUACUGCAGGGGAGACUGGAAUUCCUGGUGUAGCGGUGGAAUGCGCAGAUAUCAGGAGGAACACCGGUGGCGAAGGCGGGUCUCUGGGCAGUAACUGACGCUGAGGAGCGAAAGCGUGGGGAGCGAACAGG